CAAUAGCGUAUAUUAAAGUUGUUGCAGUUAAAAAGCUCGUAGUUGGAUCUCGGGUCCAGGCUUGCGGUUCUGCUCGUGCAGACACUGCUCGUCCUGACCUACCUGCCGGUGUUCCCCUGGUGCCCUUAACUGGGUGUCUCGGGUGGCCGGAACGUUUACUUUAGAAAAAAUUAGAGUGUUCAAAGCAGGCCGUCUGCCUGAAUAAUGGUGCAUGGAAUAAUAGAAAAGGAUCUCGGUUCUUAUUUUGUUGGUUUCGGAACUUGAGGUAAUGAUAAGAGGGACAGGACGGGGGCAUUCGUAUUACGGUGUUAGAGGUGAAAUUCUUGGAUCG
rnacentral:rRNA from 1 species